CUUACUUACUUUGUUAAAUAUGCUAGCCUGGAAAAGUUUACUUUGAAUUUAUGUUCUAAAACAUUUUUUUAACAAAGUAAUUUUAAUUCUGAUAUUUAACUUGAUAGGCACUCUGUGUAUCCAAAUGUAAAGACAUCAUACAGAAUAAUUCUAUGCCAUUAUAAAGCUUAAACACAACUGGCGAAAAAAAUGCUUUUCCCCAUUUUAUAUCAAAAAGAGAUACUUUAGUUUGGACUCAAAGAAUGAAAGUACUCAGAAAAGUGUAAGGACUUUGUUUUUCUAGAAAUAUUAAGCAACAUAAACACUGGGGACAGAACUUUAUGCGUCAAAAGUUUUGUUCUAGAAUUAAGGAGUGAAGUCAAUAUGUCAUUUUGUGGUAUAGCCUAUUUAAGACUAUAUAUACACUAAAACCUGUAAUUAAUAACAUUACCAUUGAAUCAAUAAAAAUGUCAGUACCUGA
rnacentral:antisense_RNA from 1 species